rnacentral:rRNA from 2 species
GCCGCGUGAGCGAUGAAGGCCUUCGGGUCGUAAAGCUCUGUUGUUAGGGAAGAACAAGUACCGUUCAAAUAGGGCGGUACCUUGACGGUACCUAACCAGAAAGCCACGGCUAACUACGUGCCAGCAGCCGCGGUAAUACGUAGGUGGCAAGCGUUGUCCGGAAUUAUUGGGCGUAAAGCGCGCGCAGGCGGUCUCUUAAGUCUGAUGUGAAAGCCCACGGCUCAACCGUGGAGGGUCAUUGGAAACUGGGGGACUUGAGUACUGGAGAGGAGAGUGGAAUUCCAUGUGUAGCGGUGAAAUGCGUAGAUAUAUGGAGGAACACCAGUGGCGAAGGCGGCUCUCUGGCCAGUAACUGACGCUGAGGCGCGAAAGCGUGGGGAGCAAACAGGAUUAGAUACCCUGGUAGUCCACGCCGUAAACGAUGAGUGCUAGGUGUUGGGGGGUUCCACCCUCAGUGCUGACGUUAACACAUUAAGCACUCCGCCUGGGGAGUACGACCGCAAGGUUGAAACUCAAAGGAAUUGACGGGGGCCCGCACAAGCAGUGGAGCAUGUGGUUUAAUUCGAAGCAACGCGAAGAACCUUACCAGGUCUUGACAUCCUUCGCUACUUCUAGAGAUAGAAGGUUCCCCUUCGGGGGACGAAGUGACAGGUGGUGCAUGGUUGUCGUCAGCUCGUGUCGUGAGAUGUUGGGUUAAGUCCCGCACGAGCGCAACCC